rnacentral:piRNA from 1 species
UGAUUGUUGCUUAAAAUACACACCAGCAGUU